rnacentral:rRNA from 1 species
UGGGGAAUAUUGGACAAUGGGCGAAAGCCUGAUCCAGCCAUGCCGCGUGUGUGAAGAAGGUCUUCGGAUUGUAAAGCACUUUAAGUUGGGAGGAAGGGCAGUAAGCGAAUACCUUGCUGUUUUGACGUUACCGACAGAAUAAGCACCGGCUAACUCUGUGCCAGCAGCCGCGGUAAUACAGAGGGUGCAAGCGUUAAUCGGAUUUACUGGGCGUAAAGCGUGCGUAGGCGGCUAAUUGAGUCGGAUGUGAAAUCCCCGAGCUUAACUUGGGAAUUGCAUUCGAUACUGGUUAGCUAGAGUGUGGGAGAGGAUGGUAGAAUUCCAGGUGUAGCGGUGAAAUGCGUAGAGAUCUGGAGGAAUACCGAUGGCGAAGGCAGCCAUCUGGCCUAACACUGACGCUGAGGUGCGAAAGCAUGGGGAGCAAACAGG